rnacentral:rRNA from 1 species
UACGUAGGGACCAAGCGUUGUUCGGAUUUACUGGGCGUAAAGGGCGCGUAGGCGGCUUAACAAGUCACUUGUGAAAUCUCCGGGCUUAACUCGGAACGGCCAAGUGAAACUGUCAAGCUAGAGUGCAGAAGGGGCAAUCGGAAUUCUUGGUGUAGCGGUGAAAUGCGUAGAUAUCAAGACGAACACCUGAGGUGAAGACGGGUUGCUGGGCUGACACUGACGCUGAGGCGCGAAAGCCAGGGGAGCAAACGGG